UACAGAGGGGGCAAGCGUUGUUCGGAAUUACUGGGCGUAAAGGGCGCGUAGGCGGCCUGUUAAGUCGAACGUGAAAUCCCCGGGCUCAACCCGGGAACUGCGUCCGAUACUGGCAGGCUUGAAUCCGGGAGAGGGAUGCGGAAUUCCGGGUGUAGCGGUGGAAUGCGUAGAGAUCCGGAAGAACACCGGUGGCGAAGGCGGCCUGCUGGGACGUGGCUGACGCUGAGGCGCGACAGCGUGGGGAGCAAACAGG
rnacentral:rRNA from 1 species